UUAAAGUAUCAGUAAGAACAUACAUAUCAAUCAUUACCUUAAAUGUAAAUGGAUUAAAUGCUCCAACCAAAGGACACAGACUGGCUGAAUGGAUACAAAAACAGAACCCUAAUGUACGCUGCCUACAAGAGACUCACUUCAGAUCUGGAGACACAUACAGAUGGAAAGAGAGAGGACGUAAAGAAGUAUUCCAUGCAAAUGGAAAUCAAAAGGAAGCUGGAGUAGCAAUACUUCCAUCAGAUAAAAUGUCUUUAAAAUUAAGACUGCUAAAAGAGACCAAAAAGGACACUACGUAAUGAACAAGGGAUCAAUCCAAGGAAAAGAUAUAACAAUUUUAAGUAUAUGUGCACUCAGCAUAAUUAAACAUAUAAGCUUUUGCACAGCAAAGGAAACCAUAAA